UAAGUGUGUGUGUGUUAGAGAGAGGGAGAGAGAAAGAAAGGCAGACAUACACACUAGCAGACUGACUGACAGGGAGAAGCUGAAACAGUGGCUUCAGUGAGGAGUUUAAGCUUAAAAUAAAGCACUUUAUAGGAAGCUUGUCGUCGUGUUUCUCUCUCAUUUUCAGUCAACCUGAAGUUCCUCUUCCCCGCUCUGUUUAUUUUAGAAAGGUGGCUUUGUUCUGUUUACUGUACCCACUCCCUCGGCGGCCUCUGCCCCCGUCCGACCGGCGAG